rnacentral:rRNA from 1 species
UACGAAGGGGGCUAGCGUUGUUCGGAAUUACUGGGCGUAAAGCGCGCGCAGGUGGUCUUUCAAGUCAGUGGUGAAAGCCCGGAGCUCAACUCCGGAAAUGCCAUUGAAACUGUAAGACUUGAGGAUGAGAGAGGUGAGUGGAAUUCCCAGUGUAGAGGUGAAAUUCGUAGAUAUUCGCAAGAACACCAGUGGCGAAGGCGGCUCACUGGCCCGGUACUGACGCUGAGGUGCGAAAGCGUGGGGAGCAAACAGG